UUGAAGGAGAUCGCACGGAAAGGUUAUUACGUGUAAUUACGGAAGGAAUUCAGGCCACACACGGUUGCUCUGCAUAACAAUUUGUAGGUAAUUAAUAAGUGCCUAGCUGGAAUGGGAACAAGCUCUUACGGUGUUUAUGAAGAAAGAUGUGAAGAAAGGAAUAUUUAUGCUCAAAACAAGGCUGACGGCUGAACGUAAAUAAAGACUUCUGAAACAUCUGCAAGCUUCACCAUUGUCCGGCUGGGGUUCGCUACAUUCUCCGUUGUUGACAAACUUUUAAAUUUUCCGCUUAACUAUGAACCGUACCUUACCGUACCAUACCGGGACUUAAAAACCGAGGUACGUACCGAACCGUGACUUUUGUGUACCGUUACACCCCUAAUAAAUACGGAUAGGAACUCUUUCGUCUGGUCCCGGAGGUCGUCGCCUCUGAGCUUACGAAUCCGGAGGUAUGGAGCAAUACCAACGGAAAUCGAGGCAGCAGUAUAGAUUCAGAAGUCCAACCAUUCGUGAAAAUAGAUUGAAUAGUAUUAAUAUCUGACAUUCAUAUAUAUUGUAUUUAAUGUUUUAUACUUAUAUUAUACUAUAUACCUGACCUUUUUAUUUUAUUGUUCACCUGCUUUGGCAAUUGUAACUGGUCAUUUAAAAAUGGCGCAAAAUUUUGAGGAGAGAAUCUGCGGGUUGGUGAGGGGUGUCACAUGCCACCGCAGCGUAGGCCUACACUUUUUGCACCUUUUUUUCCUGAUUUCGGAUGACACAAAGCAAAAUCAUCUCCUCUACGGAUGCCAUGUUUGCAAUUGUCGAUGCCGGAAAUUUGCGACACGAGAGUCACUGCCCUUUAGAGUAUUUAUUGCAACAUCCCUAACAACGCUGAAACCGGAUGGAGGUAUAAAGGGUAGUACCGGGGACAACGUUUGGUACGGACAGACGGAUUUCGUCCGGAUCAGGAGGUAUGAAUCAGCCUUUACACGCUGCUCCGCGAUCAUGCUUCCCUCCUCUCUUCAUUACCAUUACUUUGAACUGUCGUCCAUGCUGGCGGUACAUUUUCACUGUUACUGCAGCGGUCCAAUGGAAUAAUGGCCAAGCUUUAUCCUGAUGUCUUUGUCUUUAUUACUGUCCUCGUAAACUGUUUGACGCCGUGAAAACUACAAAAGGACGAUAAACAAUGUUUAAAACCCACUCCUAACUACACAGAAAUUGACUUAAUCGUACAGCUGUAAAUAAACCAAUUACCGUGUGCGCCACUUUGACCAUGAACAGAAUUGUUGUAGCGGUAACAUACUUAUACUUUAUAGACAAAGCUUGUAAAAAGUAAAUCAAAUGUGUAUCAAUUUCAGAACUUUACUUUAACAAAUGUAUCACUUUUUUCAGUUAGAAUUGUAUUUAACAAAAAAGGUAACUGGCUUCAGUAACUAAAUGUGAAUACUUUUUCUGAGUCUUUCAUGAUAGAAUAUCAUUGGAUUUCAAAUGAUGGGACCAAAAAAAUGGAUGUAUCUAUCGAACUCUGAACUUCUGAUGGCCAAUCAGUACAAAUAUUGACAUGUUACCAACAGAAAAGCAUUUUGAAAUUAUCUGUGCAUUUACAACCUGUAGUUUCAAAUACUGAGAGAGGGGUUAAAAAACGACAACACACGCUAUUCACACACGCUAUUCAUGUUUUUGUUGAGACUGGAACAUUUUUUAUUACUGUAACUAUAUUGCUAUCUUAAUUGUUCUUGUAAUCAGACUAGUAUUACUUUUCAUACCAUGACAAGUUCCUGCAGUCUUCUUCUUAAUGUCACAUGAUGUUGCUGUGGUGUCAAGACAGCUGAUUGUAUACAGCAGGGGGUGCGGUCGUCCUGCCGGUACAAGUAGGAUG
ensembl:lncRNA